UCUUCUUAAACCCUCUACUGCAUCUUCUCUUCUACGGACACUCUCUCCUUCUCUCUCCGCUUCCCGCUUUCAAGUUCGUGCAAUGGCUGACUCUGCUUCUGCUCUUUUCAAGAAAAUCCAAAUCCAGAGAGAAGAUACUACAUUUGAUGCAUAUGUGGUGGGCAAAGAAGAUGCACCUGGGAUUGUAGUGCU